GUCAGACAGGACACCCCGCUGACAAUUAACACCCGUGAACAGAAAGUAACAACUUAACAAGAAAACCCUACUACACCCUGUGUUAACCUAACACCAGAGCAUUACAAGAAAGAUUUAAAGAAAGAGAAGGAACUCGGCAAAUAAUAACCUCGCCUGUUUACCAAAAACAUCGCCUCUUGAAAAAUAUAAGAGGUCCAGCCUGCCCAGUGACUCUGUUCAACGGCCGCGGUAUCCUAACCGUGCGAAGGUAGCGUAAUCACUUGUUCUUUAAAUGAGGACUAGUAUGAACGGCACCACGAGGGUUAUACUGUCUCCUCUUUCCAAUCAGUGAAACUAAUCUCCCCGUGAAGAAGCGAGGAUACACAUAUAAGACGAGAAGACCCUAUGGAGCUUUAAACCACACAACACCUGCUCCAACUUAAUUAAAUUCCAGAAAACCCCCAUUUACCCAUGCAGGAUGAUUGUCAGUUUUAGGUUGGGGUGACCGCGGAGCACAAAACAACCUCCACAUUGAAAGGAGCCCACUCCUUAGCCAAGAGCCACACCUCCCCGCAUCAACAAAA
rnacentral:rRNA from 1 species